rnacentral:rRNA from 1 species
GAUGAACGCUGGCGGCGUGCCUAAUACAUGCAAGUCGAGCGAACAGACGAGGAGCUUGCUCCUCUGACGUUAGCGGCGGACGGGUGAGUAACACGUGGAUAACCUACCUAUAAGACUGGGAUAACUUCGGGAAACCGGAGCUAAUACCGGAUAAUAUAUUGAACCGCAUGGUUCAAUAGUGAAAGACGGUUUUGCUGUCACUUAUAGAUGGAUCCGCGCCGCAUUAGCUAGUUGGUAAGGUAACGGCUUACCAAGGCAACGAUGCGUAGCCGACCUGAGAGGGUGAUCGGCCACACUGGAACUGAGACACGGUCCAGACUCCUACGGGAGGCAGCAGUAGGGAAUCUUCCGCAAUGGGCGAAAGCCUGACGGAGCAACGCCGCGUGAGUGAUGAAGGUCUUCGGAUCGUAAAACUCUGUUAUUAGGGUAGAACAAAUGUGUAAGUAACUAUGCACGUCUUGACGGUACCUAAUCAGAAAGCCACGGCUAACUACGUG